UACGAAGGGUGCAAGCGUUACUCGGAAUUACUGGGCGUAAAGCGUGCGUAGGCGGUUUGUUAAGUCCGCUGUGAAAGCCCCUGGGCUCAACCUGGGAAUUGCAGUGGAUACUGGCAAGCUAGAGUGCGGUAGAGGAUGGUGGAAUUCCCAGUGUAGAGGUGAAAAUUCGUAGAUAUUGGGAAGAACACCGAUGGCGAAGGCAGCCAUCUGGACCGACACUGACGCUGAGGCGCGAAAAGCGUGGGGAGCAAACAGG
rnacentral:rRNA from 1 species